CGCUAUUUGCUCAUGCAACUGUGCAGACACUUUGCAACGAAUAGCAAUCAAUCGAUUUAUCCUGCCGUUUAGUACAUAUUUUACAACAUCAGCCCCCGAAGAGUGUCCCUUUUGGUUGGCGAGUUGCAACCUCUUCUGAACCUUAACAAAUAGCGACGAAAAUUGCAACAAAUGUGUUACGAAUGGUUCGUGAUCGUGGCAUGACAGAAUGUCGCCGGCAACAACAGCAAAAGCGAGCUGAACUGGAGAAUUGUGGACCAAUGAGGAAAUCGUUACCUUGGCUUAAACCACUUAAACAUCACGAGUUGAACUCUUAACAGCCUGGGACUCCAGUCCAAACUUUGGGCCGUUGCUGGGAGAAGACUUUUGCCGCGCUCCACUGAUGUAGAUGAGGAGGAGAUGACGACGACGACAACAAAGAAGUUGACAACAGCAACAGUCUAACAACAACUGCAGUUACACCAGGGAAAAAGUUUAUGCCAUAAUAAUAAUUCUUUGAAAACAAACUUUAAACAGAGAUCAAUAUAAUUUAUCCCCUAUAUGACUAAACUAAAAUCAAGAAUGGAU
ensembl:ncRNA lncRNA:CR45253 long non-coding RNA:CR45253